GACGAACGCUGGCGGCGUGCUUAACACAUGCAAGUCGAGCGGUAAGGCCCUUUCGGGGGUACACGAGCGGCGAACGGGUGAGUAACACGUGGGUGACCUGCCCUUAGCUCUGGGAUAAGCCUGGGAAACUGGGUCUAAUACCGGAUAUGACUCCAUGACGCAUGUUGUGGGGUGGAAAGCCUUGUGCGGCUAGGGAUGGGCCCGCGGCCUAUCAGCUUGUUGGUGGGGUGAUGGCCACCAAGGCGACGACGGGUAGCCGGCCUGAGAGGGCGACCGGCCACACUGGGACUGAGACACGGCCCAGACUCCUACGGGAGGCAGCAGUGGGGAAUCUUGCGCAAUGGGCGAAAGCCUGACGCAGCGACGCCGCGUGAGGGAUGACGGCCUCGGUGU
rnacentral:rRNA from 1 species